rnacentral:rRNA from 1 species
UGCUUCUUUGCUGACGAGUGGCGGACGGGUGAGUACUGCUUGGGAAUCUGGCUUAUGGAGGGGGAAUNACUGUGGGAAANUGCAGNCUAAUACCGCGUAGUAUCGAGAGAUGAAAGGGUGGGACCUUCGGGCCACCUGCCAUAAGAUGAGCCCAAGUGGGAUUAGGUAGNUGGUGGGGUAAAGGCCUACCAAGCCGACGAUCUCUAGCUGGUCUGAGAGGAUGACCAGCCACACUGGGACUGAGACACGGCCCNGACUCAUACGGGAGGUCAUGCAGUGGGGAAUAUUGCGCAGGGGGGAACCCUGACGCAGCCAUGCCGCGUGAAUGAAGAAGGCCUUCGGGUUGUAAAGUUCUUUCGGUAAUGAGGAAGGGGUAUUAUUGAAUAGAUAAUAUCAUUGACGUUAAUUACAGAAGAAGCACCGGCUAACUCCGUGCCAGCAGCCGCGGUAAUACGGAGGGUGCGAGCGUUAAUCGGAAUAACUGGGCGUAAAGGGCACGCAGGCGGACUUUUAAGUGAGAUGUGAAAUCCCCGAGCUUAACUUGGGAACUGCAUUUCAGACUGGGAGUCUAGAGUACUUUAGGGAGGGGUAGAAUUCCACGUGUAGCGGUGAAAUGCGUAGAGAUGUGGAGGAAUACCGAAGGCGAAGGCAGCCCCUUGGGAAUGUACUGACGCUCAUGUGCGAAAGCGUGGGGAGCAAACAGCGAUUAGAUACCCUGGUAGUCCACGUCUGUAAACGCUGUCGAUCAGGGGAUUGUGCUUUAUGCAUGGUGCCCNAAGCUAGACGUGAUAAAUCGUACCGCCUGGGGAGUACAGCCGCA